rnacentral:rRNA from 1 species
CGAACGGGUGAGUAACACGUGGGUAACCUGCCCAUCAGAAGGGGAUAACACUUGGAAACAGGUGCUAAUACCGUAUAACAAUCGAAACCGCAUGGUUUUGAUUUGAAAGGCGCUUUCGGGUGUCGCUGAUGGAUGGACCCGCGGUGCAUUAGCUAGUUGGUGAGGUAACGGCUCACCAAGGCCACGAUGCAUAGCCGACCUGAGAGGGUGAUCGGCCACAUUGGGACUGAGACACGGCCCAAACUCCUACGGGAGGCAGCAGUAGGGAAUCUUCGGCAAUGGACGAAAGUCUGACCGAGCAACGCCGCGUGAGUGAAGAAGGUUUUCGGAUCGUAAAACUCUGUUGUUAGAGAAGAACAAGGAUGAGAGUAACUGUUCAUCCCUUGACGGUAUCUAACCAGAAAGCCACGGCUAACUACGUGCCAGCAGCCGCGGUAAUACGUAGGUGGCAAGCGUUGUCCGGAUUUAUUGGGCGUAAAGCGAGCGCAGGCGGUUUCUUAAGUCUGAUGU